UCCUUAAUUAUAAAGCUAUUUUUUUAUAUUUUCAUAGGGAGAAUAAUCACGAUGAAUUCCUGAGCAAACAAUGAUAAAAGACACAUUUUGAGUCUCCUACGCUCGUCUAAUAAGAUGGAAAUCCGCUAAAGCCCCACCUCAUUGAUGCGAGCUUUUUCGUAUAUAACCGGCCCCUUGUAGACAAUCGACAUCCACAGUUCGCUACGAUCUCUGAGAGAAACAAUGAACGUAAAAAUCGCUGUUUGUUUAUUGUGUGUUUUGGCUAUUGUGAUGGCCGCGCCGACCAACUUUCAAGAUCAGUCAUCGGAUCUAUGGGCGGAUGGUUCUGUUGAAUACACCAUUGAUUUAGGAAAACAUCCCGUUCACGGACACAAGACUUUCUACAAGAAGUUUUACAAGCCAGAUAUCAUCAAGUACUUACUCACAUACCCGAAAUUCCCAUUGCACCCCUUACUCCCUGACCACCAUCACUAAAGGCACAAAACUGAACAUUGAAAAUGGCGUUAAAUUUUGUUAUACUUUUUGAUACUAUUUUUUAUAA